UGCGCAGCUUACACAUGCAGUCGAGCGGAGAUGAGGUGCUUGCACCUUAUCUUAGCGGCGGACGGGUGAGUAAUGCUUAGGAAUCUGCCUAUUAGUGGGGGACAACAUUCCGAAAGGAAUGCUAAUACCGCAUACGCCCUACGGGGGAAAGCAGGGGAUCUUCGGACCUUGCGCUAAUAGAUGAGCCUAAGUCGGAUUAGCUAGUUGGUGGGGUAAAGGCCUACCAAGGCGACGAUCUGUAGCGGGUCUGAGAGGAUGAUCCGCCACACUGGGACUGAGACACGGCCCAGACUCCUACGGGAGGCAGCAGUGGGGAAUAUUGGACAAUGGGCGGAAGCCUGAUCCAGCCAUGCCGCGUGUGUGAAGAAGGCCUUUUGGUUGUAAAGCACUUUAAGCGAGGAGGAGGCUACUUAGAUUAAUACUCUAGGAUAGUGGACGUUACUCGCAGAAUAAGCACCGGCUAACUCUGUGCCAGCAGCCGCGGUAAUACAGAGGGUGCGAGCGUUAAUCGGAUUUACUGGGCGUAAAGCGUGCGUAGGCGGCUGAUUAAGUCGGAUGUGAAAUCCCUGAGCUUAACUUAGGAAUUGCAUUCGAUACUGGUCAGCUAGAGUAUGGGAGAGGAUGGUAGAAUUCCAGGUGUAGCGGUGAAAUGCGUAGAGAUCUGGAGGAAUACCGAUGGCGAAGGCAGCCAUCUGGCCUAAUACUGACGCUGAGGUACGAAAGCAUGGGGAGCAAACAGGAUUAGAUACCCUGGUAGUCCAUGCCGUAACGAUGUCUACU
rnacentral:rRNA from 1 species